rnacentral:rRNA from 1 species
UACGAAGGGGGCUAGCGUUGUUCGGAAUCACUGGGCGUAAAGGGCGCGUAGGCGGCUUUAUAAGUCGGGGGGUGAAAGCCUGUGGCUCAACCACAGAAUUGCCUUCGAUACUGUAGAGCUUGAGACCGGAAGAGGUAAGUGGAACUGCGAGUGUAGAGGUGAAAAUUCGUAGAUAUUCGCAAGAACACCAGUGGCGAAGGCGGCUUACUGGUCCGGUUCUGACGCUGAGGCGCGAAAGCGUGGGGGAGCAAACAGG